UCUCUGUACUAUCACAUUUAAAGAUUAUGCGAUUUUAAAUCUCGCAACACUGGUCAAAUCGAGUUUCAGAUGUUUACCGAUCGUAUCGCCAUUUUUAUUUUCAUUGCUGAUUGCAAUUUUUGUAGUGAAGUUAAAUCAAAAUUUAAUUAUCGGUGUAAAGUGCGCUUGUAAACUAAUUUAGCAAAUUGGAUUGUUGUGAAGAGCGGAGCCAGAAAGCAUUUAUUUACGGUGGAAAAGGAUUCCCACUACUGCACCGAUUAGGGAACCAGAUCGCUAUGGUAUGGUCCGGAGCUUGUGGCUGACUUUGAAGAAGAGUUUUAGAUGGUUAUGAAAAACCCCGGCACACACGGGUCGAAAAGGAUGAGGACAAAAAGAAGGGAUAGACAGACAAUUAAAACCCCUUUGAUGACCACUUCGGGAACGACGUUGAAUAAAAAGAUGCAUUCGGAACAGGAGUUUGCUGAGUGCAAAGUAAGAUUCGUUUAGGGCCAAUCAUAAAAGUCGGACGUGAACGUGAAGUGCAUCCGACUGAACACCGGAUCGGGAAGCCCGGUUAACUCGUUCUUUUGGCGACGAUUGAGAAAGGUUUCGGAAUCAUAUGAGGGGAAACAAAAGAACGUUGUCUUGUAACGCGGAUUAACUGGGUAAUGCAAUGUGGCUUUAUGGAUUAUUCUGACGCGAGUAAUUUACGUAAGAAUCGAUCGUUCAAGUCCAGGAAAGAAUAUCACACACGGCCGUGUUAUUUGAAGUUUCUUCCGUGCCCUGUCAGUCAGAAAGAUUGGAUUUGCGAGAAAUAUCGAAUAAAUCAACGAACUGUAAAACCGCGUUGCCGUAGCUGAGCAUGAAAAGCGGAUCUUGUCCGAUCCUGUGGCACAGUUUUGAAACAAUCCGACGAUUGAUUCGGUCACCCAAACAGUGUUUGCAUUAUUUCGGCCUGCUGCAAUAUGUUGCGAUCCAUCCCGAAACUCGGUUUGUUUUCCAGGCGGCUUUGCGUAACGGGAUUUUGCUACCCGAAUUCAGGAGGAUAAAUUCACUGUUUCGGAUUCAGUAUCUCAAGAAUUACUUAGAACCAUAACCGCACCUGGGGCCGACCCGUGAAAGGUUGGUAUUAGCUGCUAUCUAAUUCAUAGAUAAACACCAAGGCUGUUAUAACUACAUUCACCGGGUGGCAUUGGCUAUGCACGUUAUAUGUUUGGUGAUGCGAGUAUUCUGGAUGAAGAUAAGACACCACUCGGUUCGACCGAGCUUUCGCAAUUGAUUUUCAUCAAGCCGGUUCGUAUCAAUUUUACUUCAGAGCUCAAAGUCGGGUUAGAAGACGGUUCACGGAAGGGUUGGUCACAAGAUCCAACCAGAAUAUAGCGCUCUGGUGACGCCGACGGAACGCUGCAUUCAUCGGUGUGUAUUAGGCGUGUUUGACGACAUCUAACGGUACCGAUUUUCGUACCGCUCCGGAACUGGAGAAUUUCAAUUGAGCAGCCACUCACCUUCGGCCAUACUAUUUCACUGGAUCCAAAGUUCGUUCGAUUACGCUGCACUUGGCUGAUAUUGCCGUUAGAUGGACGAACGGUCAGGACAACAAAUCAUAAUUUAUGGUCAUCGACAGUGAAAUUUACCAUUCUACGAAUCUGCGCACCAUGCCGCUUCUGCUAAAUGAAAAAAAUAGGUUUAAAUCGGCAUAAAUCGUAUUAUGUUUUGUUUAAAUUUCGUUUGUUCGAUUUCGAACAUGAAUAAUUAAAU